UACGGAGGGUGCAAGCGUUGUUCGGAAUCACUGGGCGUAAAGCGCGUGUAGGCGGCCUCUUAAGUCUGGUGUGAAAGCCCGGGGCUUACCCCCGGAAGUGCACUGGAGACUGGGAGACUUGAGUACCGGAGAGGAGGGUGGAAUUCCUGGUGUAGCGGUUAAAUGCGUAGAUAUCAGGAGGAGCACCGGUGGCGAAGGCGGCCCUCUGGACGGCUACUGACGCUGAGACGCGAAAGCGUUGGGAGCAAACAGG
rnacentral:rRNA from 1 species